rnacentral:ribozyme from 13 species
AUUAUUUUAAGAUCGAGAAAUGCAACAAAACAUAACACAGAAAACAAAACAAUCAAAAAAAAAAAGUCAAAAAAAAAACCAAAACAAAAAAAAAGCAUUCCUCCUCCUUUUCCUCUCUUUCCUUUUCUCUUCUCCUCU